GGUCUUGCUACGUUGGAAGGCGCCUGACUUAAAAUCGGGACGGCUACAGUUCGAUUCUGUACUUGACCA
rnacentral:tRNA from 1 species